rnacentral:rRNA from 1 species
GACGAACGCUGGCGGCGUGCUUAACACAUGCAAGUCGAACGGAAAGGCCCUGCUUUUGUGGGGUGCUCGAGUGGCGAACGGGUGAGUAACACGUGAGUAACCUGCCCUUGACUUUGGGAUAACUUCAGGAAACUGGGGCUAAUACCGGAUAGGAGCUCCUGCUGCAUGGUGGGGGUUGGAAAGUUUCGGCGGUUGGGGAUGGACUCGCGGCUUAUCAGCUUGUUGGUGGGGUAGUGGCUUACCAAGGCUUUGACGGGUAGCCGGCCUGAGAGGGUGACCGGCCACAUUGGGACUGAGAUACGGUCCAGACUCAUACGGGAGGCAGCAGUGGGGAAUAUUGCACAAUGGGCGGAAGCCGGAUGCAGCAACGCCGCGUGCGGGAUGACGGCCUUCGGGUUGUAAACCGCUUUCGCCUGUGACGAAGCGUGAGUGACGGUAAUGGGUAAAGAAACACCGGCUAACUACGU